GCGCCGGUGGUGUAAUGGCGUAGAGCAUUCCCGCCCGGUCAGAGGGAGGUGUGGGUUCGAGUCCCGCCUGGCGCU
rfam:Heligmosomoides polygyrus genome assembly, scaffold: HPBE_scaffold0000041